GCAGCCGGGCUCUCAGCCAGCGGCCAGGCGCCCCGCGGACCAUGCUCUCCAGUACGCAGAACGCGGGCGGCUCCUAUCAGCGGGUCCGCGGGGCGCUUGAUACACAGAAAUGCAGUCCAGAGAAAAGUGCCUCAUUUUUCAGUAAAGUGACAUAUUCCUGGUUUAGCAGAGUAAUUACUUUAGGCUAUAAGAGACCUUUGGAAAGAGAGGAUCUUUUUGAACUAAAGGAAAGUGAUUCCUUCUGCACUGCGUGUCCCAUCUUUGAAAAACAAUGGAGAAAGGAAGUUUUAAGGAAUCAAGAGAGGCAAAAAGUAAAGGUAUCUUGUUAUAAAGAGGCACAUAUCAAGAAACCAUCUCUACUCUAUGCAUUGUGGAACACCUUUAAAUCCAUCCUGAUUCAAGUUGCCUUAUUCAAAGUGUUUGCUGAUAUUUUGUCCUUCACUAGCCCACUCAUAAUGAAGCAAAUUAUCAUUUUCUGUGAACACAGCUCAGAUUUUGGCUGGAAUGGCUAUGGCUAUGCAGUGGCACUUCUUGUUGUAGUCUUUUUGCAAACUCUGAUUCUUCAGCAAUAUCAACGUUUUAACAUGCUCACCUCAGCAAAAGUUAAGACAGCUGUAAAUGGACUGAUCUACAAAAAGGUGUCCCUGGCAACCUUGUGUGUCUAUUUCUUACUGGAUGAAGGAAACAUUUUAACAGCCACUAAAGUGUUCACAUCGAUGUCUUUGUUUAAUAUUUUAAGGAUUCCUCUGUUUGAGUUACCAACCGUGAUCUCAGCUGUGGUCCAGACAAAGAUAUCCCUGGGCCGUUUGGAAGACUUUCUCAACACUGAGGAGCUUCUUCCUCAAAGUAUUGAAACGAACUAUACAGGAGAUCAUGCUAUUGGGUUUACAGAUGCUUCUUUCUCCUGGGAUAAAACAGGAAUGCCAGUUCUAAAAGAGGCUCUGUGGCUUAUGUUUCUCAGCAGGCCUGGAUUCAGAAUUGCAUUUUGCAAGAAAACAUUCUCUUUGGCUCCAUCAUGAAGAAAGAGUUUUAUGAGCAAGUAUUGGAAGCCUGUGCUCUCCUUCCAGAUUUGGAGCAGUUGCCAAAGGGAGAUCAAACUGAGAUUGGAGAAAGAGUAAGGAAACUGUAAUUUAUCAUGUAAAGAAAUAUAAUCCCAUUCAGCUGUGCUAAUAAAAUGUUUAUGGCCUUUUU
ensembl:lncRNA ABCC13 ATP binding cassette subfamily C member 13 (pseudogene)